GAUGAACGCUAGCGGCAGGCCUAACACAUGCAAGUCGAGGGGUAGAGUAGCAAUACUUGAGACCGGCGCACGGGUGCGUAACGCGUAUGCAACCUACCUUUUACAGGGGAAUAGCCCAGAGAAAUUUGGAUUAAUGCCCCAUGGUAUAAUUAGAUGGCAUCAUUUGAUUAUUAAAGUUCCAACGGUAAAAGAUGGGCAUGCGUCCUAUUAGCUAGAUGGUAAGGUAACGGCUUACCAUGGCUACGAUAGGUAGGGGUCCUGAGAGGGAGAUCCCCCACACUGGUACUGAGACACGGACCAGACUCCUACGGGAGGCAGCAGUGAGGAAUAUUGGACAAUGGGCGCAAGCCUGAUCCAGCCAUGCCGCGUGCAGGAAGACGGUCCUAUGGAUUGUAAACUGCUUUUGUACGGGAAGAAACACUCCUACGUGUAGGAGCUUGACGGUACCGUAAGAAUAAGGAUCGGCUAACUCCGUGCCAGCAGCCGCGGUAAUACGGAGGAUCCAAGCGUUAUCCGGAAUCAUUGGGUUUAAAGGGUCCGUAGGCGGUUUGAUAAGUCAGUGGUGAAAGCCCAUCGCUCAACGAUGGAACGGCCAUUGAUACUGUCAGACUUGAAUUACUGGGAAGUAACUAGAAUAUGUAGUGUAGCGGUGAAAUGCUUAGAUAUUACAUGGAAUACCAAUUGCGAAGGCAGGUUACUACCAGUGGAUUGACGCUGAUGGACGAAAGCGUGGGGAGCGAACAGGAUUAGAUACCCUGGUAGUCCACGCCGUAAACGAUGGAUACUAGCUGUUCGGGGCAACCUGAGUGGCUAAGCGAAAGUGAUAAGUAUCCCACCUGGGGAGUACGUUCCCAAGAAUG
rnacentral:rRNA from 1 species